AGAGUUUGAUCCUGGCUCAGGAUGAACGCUGGCGGCGUGCCUAAUACAUGCAAGUCGAGCGAACGGACGAGAAGCUUGCUUCUCUGAUGUUAGCGGCGGACGGGUGAGUAACACGUGGAUAACCUACCUAUAAGACUGGGAUAACUUCGGGAAACCGGAGCUAAUACCGGAUAAUAUUUUGAACCGCAUGGUUCAAAAGUGAAAGACGGUCUUGCUGUCACUUAUAGAUGGAUCCGCGCUGCAUUAGCUAGUUGGUAAGGUAACGGCUUACCAAGGCAACGAUGCAUAGCCGACCUGAGAGGGUGAUCGGCCACACUGGAACUGAGACACGGUCCAGACUCCUACGGGAGGCAGCAGUAGGGAAUCUUCCGCAAUGGGCGAAAGCCUGACGGAGCAACGCCGCGUGAGUGAUGAAGGUCUUCGGAUCGUAAAACUCUGUUAUUAGGGAAGAACAUAUGUGUAAGUAACUGUGCACAUCUUGACGGUACCUAAUCAGAAAGCCACGGCUAACUACGUGCCAGCAGCCGCGGUAAUACGUAGGUGGCAAGCGUUAUCCGGAAUUAUUGGGCGUAAAGCGCGCGUAGGCGGUUUUUUAAGUCUGAUGUGAAAGCCCACGGCUCAACCGUGGAGGGUCAUUGGAAACUGGAAAACUUGAGUGCAGAAGAGGAAAGUGGAAUUCCAUGUGUAGCGGUGAAAUGCGCAGAGAUAUGGAGGAACACCAGUGGCGAAGGCGACUUUCUGGUCUGUAACUGACGCUGAUGUGCGAAAGCGUGGGGAUCAAACAGGAUUAGAUACCCUGGUAGUCCACGCCGUAAACGAUGAGUGCUAAGUGUUAGGGGGUUUCCGCCCCUUAGUGCUGCAGCUAACGCAUUAAGCACUCCGCCUGGGGAGUACGACCGCAAGGUUGAAACUCAAAGGAAUUGACGGGGACCCGCACAAGCGGUGGAGCAUGUGGUUUAAUUCGAAGCAACGCGAAGAACCUUACCAAAUCUUGACAUCCUUUGACAACUCUAGAGAUAGAGCUUUCCYCUUCGGGGGACAAAGUGACAGGUGGUGCAUGGUUGUCGUCAGCUCGUGUCGUGAGAUGUUGGGUUAAGUCCCGCAACGAGCGCAACCCUUAAGCUUAGUUGCCAUCAUUAAGUUGGGCACUCUAAGUUGACUGCCGGUGACAAACCGGAGGAAGGUGGGGAUGACGUCAAAUCAUCAUGCCCCUUAUGAUUUGGGCUACACACGUGCUACAAUGGACAAUACAAAGGGCAGCGAAACCGCGAGGUCAAGCAAAUCCCAUAAAGUUGUUCUCAGUUCGGAUUGUAGUCUGCAACUCGACUACAUGAAGCUGGAAUCGCUAGUAAUCGUAGAUCAGCAUGCUACGGUGAAUACGUUCCCGGGUCUUGUACACACCGCCCGUCACACCACGAGAGUUUGUAACACCCGAAGCCGGUGGAGUAACCUUUUAGGAGCUAGCCGUCGAAGGUGGGACAAAUGAUUGGGGUGAAGUCGUAACAAGGUAGCCGU
rnacentral:rRNA from 1 species